CAUACAACGUUGAAACACCAGUUCCUGUACGAUCACCGAAGUUAAGCAACGUCGAGCCUGAUCAGUAUGUGGAUGAGUAACUGCUUAAGAAUGCCAAGUGCUGUACG